CCUACGGGGGGCAGCAGUGGGGAAUAUUGGACAAUGGGCGAAAGCCUGAUCCAGCCAUGCCGCGUGUGUGAAGAAGGCCUUCGGGUUGUAAAGCACUUUCAGUGGGGAAGAAAGCCUUGGGGCUAAUACCCUCGAGGAAGGACAUCACCCACAGAAGAAGCACCGGCUAACUCCGUGCCAGCAGCCGCGGUAAUACGGAGGGUGCGAGCGUUAAUCGGAAUUACUGGGCGUAAAGCGCGCGUAGGCGGUCUGAUAAGCCGGUUGUGAAAGCCCCGGGCUCAACCUGGGAACGGCAUCCGGAACUGUCAGGCUAGAGUGCAGGAGAGGAAGGUAGAAUUCCCGGUGUAGCGGUGAAAUGCGUAGAGAUCGGGAGGAAUACCAGUGGCGAAGGCGGCCUUCUGGACUGACACUGACGCUGAGGUGCGAAAGCGUGGGUAGCAAACAGGAUUACAUACCCCUGUAGC
rnacentral:rRNA from 1 species